rnacentral:tRNA from 1 species
GGUGGCUCAGUGCUUAAGCACUUGGUUGCUAACCAAAAGGUUGGUGGUUCGAACCCACCAGCCACUC